UAGUAUGUGAACUAAAGCAGAUAGUGGAUGCCUAUGGCUUGUUGAGUCGAAGAAGGACGCACAAGACCGCGAAAGUCGUCGGGGAGCUGUCUCGAAGCUGUGAUCCGGCGGUGUCCGAAUGGGGAAACCCACCCUGCGUAAUUGCAGGGUAUCCCACUUCUUUUGAAGUGAGGAAGAGAACGCGAUGAAGUGAAAUAUCUCAGUAAUCGUAGGAAAAGAAAUCGUAAGAGAUUCCCUAAGUAAGCGACGAGCGAACAGGGAACAGUCUAAACCGAAUUUAUUCGGGGUUGCAGGACCUCAAUAUAGGACUUCUGGAAUUAGAAGAAUAGCGUGGAAUAGCUAACCAAAGAGAGUGAAAGUCUCGUAUUUGAAAGUAACAGAAGCCUUAGAGGAUUCCUAAGUAGGUUGGGAGACGGCAAACUCCCUUCUGAAUCUGGGGUGACCACACUCCAAGACUAAAUACUACAACAAGACCGAUAGUGAACGAGUACCGUGAGGGAAAGGUGAAAAGAAGGGUUGAAGACCCCGUGAAAUAGCACCUGAAACUAUCUGCUAACAAUCAGAGAGAGCUGCCGCAAGGUGGUGAUCUCGUGCCUAUUGAAGAAUGAGCCGGCGAGUUUCUGCAAGCUGCAAGGUUAAUCCACUUCCGUGGAGAAGCCGUAGUGAAAGCGAGCCUGAAUAGGGCGUUGAGUAGCUUGUGGAAGACCCGAAACCGGGUGAGCUUACCAUGGUCAGGAUGAAGCUACAGUAACAUGUAGUGAAGGUCCGAACCGGUGACUGCUGCAAGAGUCUCGGAUGAACUGUGGUAAGGGGUAAUAUGCCAAUCGAACUCGGUGAUAGCUGGUUCUCCCUGAAAUAUAUUUUGGUAUAGGGUCAUAACAAUGCAUGAGGGGGUAGAGCACUGAUCGGGUGUCUGAGCCGCAAGGUCCAGCAUCUAGUCAAACUCCGAAUACCUCAUGACUCUUUAUGGCACUCAGCACCUGGGGGCUAAGCUCCAGGAGCAAAAGGACAAAAAUCCAGACUUACAGCUAAGGUCUCUAAUUGAUAUUUAGUGGGAAAGGAAGUGUUAUUCCUCAGACACCUAGGAGGUCGGCUCAGAAGCAGCCAUCCUUUAAAGAAAGCGUAACAGCUCACUAGCCGAGGAAUAAUGCGCCGAAAACUCAACGAGGCUGAAAUAUCAAACCGAAGCUUAAGAUUUGUAUAGUAAUAUAUAAGUGGUAAGGGAGCGUUCUGUGUACUGUGAAGGUCGCGCGUAAGCAGCGGCUGGAGUGAUCAGAAGUGCGAAUGCCGGCAUAAGUAGCGUACUUGAGGUGAGAAUCCU
rnacentral:rRNA from 1 species